AUGAAGGCCGCUACAGUCCUUGUGUUGGUCCUACUGGUGAUUACAUACUCUGCUGCUGCAGCUCCGGCGCGGAAGUUGGCAGGAGAUGACGGGCAGCAGACAGGCGAAAUGGUGACGAAGACGGAGGUGAACGUACUAAACGGGAGGACAGGUUCUGGCGACGGUGAGCAUAACUGCCGAAUGAGCUGGUUCGUCCCCGCUUCUUGCAAACCAGGUCCGUAA
rnacentral:rRNA from 1 species